AGACCAUGUUGUUGGCAUCGCCUUAAAAGAUAUUUGUACCUCUACCAACCUUCAUAUAGUGUCUCUCCAUCUUGUUGAGUGAAAGAAGCUAUGUCAUGUCGAAGUUU